CCAGGUGCAUUCACAGAGCUCCUUGCAUAAACAAAGCACUCUGGAGCCCAGCACAGACACACUCACCUCCUCUGCCCACACAUGCACAGCAGGCAGAGCUCAGCUCUCCCCCAUUGCCACAGGCAGAGCAUCACAGAGACAGGACUCCAGAACAACCCUUCAAGUGUUUUGAGAGCCACAGAAAUUCCACAAGAUAAUUCCUGGGGGCUAUUGCCAGCUGCAGGGCUGAUCAGAGGAAGCAGGGGCAAAACAUGCCUUCAGCAGCUACUGUGUUUCUACAAAGAUGAAGGAAUCAGCAUGAAACCUGCUAAUGGAAUAUGUGUCACUCUUGAGCUCAGGAUCUUGAGCUUGUUUUGGCAAGCCAGAUUCGAAGCUGUGUUGUUAAGAUUUAUGCAGCUCCUGGUUCGCUCCUCAUGAAAGUAGAAAGAGCAAAAUACCUGUAAAUCUUCCUUUUGUUCCUUGCAGUUUGAUGCUUACUAUGGUUGUUCUGAAACACCGACAUCAGAAGACUGUUUCACACCUUUCACAGCAUCUCAAAUAAAUAACCAGUUCUACUCUAGUAUCAGUUCUUGUAACUGGACAUCAUGGCAGGAAAAUAUAACCUGGCCCAACAGCAGUGCUGUGCUCCACAGCAAGAUCUCCCUGGCUGGCGCUGAACCACUUGACAGGCUCCUCUUGGGCAUCGUAAAA